AUUAAAAGUCACUUGAUGAUAUUCUAAAUUCAUAACUAUCUCUUCAAGUCCAUGCUACAAUGAAAGAGAACAUGUACUAGAUAAAAAUAUUGGAAACAGGAUGCUAAUUUGUUAAGGUGUGACAAUUCCACUAGACUACCAAAAAAAUUUUUGAAAAAAGACGAAUUAUUACAAACCAAAAGUAAAAAUACUAACCAGCAACGCCGUGUAUUUUGAACAACUAGGCCUAUCCCUCAGUUUCUGAGUGUAAGGUGAAUCCUAUAUUCCUAUCUGGAAUCCAUUCCAUGCUUGAUUGCAUACUGAUUCUGUUGAAUGUUCUCCAUCCUUGCGAAUAUUUCCCUGACUUCGCGCCCAGAAAGGAACAUUGAAAAAAAAGCGCUUUGAUCACUUGCGUGAACGUCAGGUCGUACACUGACUGACUCGUCCCCAGGUCAACACGUAACCAAAAGACGAUCAGUAAAAAGUUAUACAAUCGACCAGUGGAAACCCAGUGUAUAAGACUUCAUAUAUAUACAUAUGAUAUAUUUUAUACAUGAUAUAUCUUAUAUCGAAUUAGAACGGGGAGAAGAAAAAAACACGACAAGCUUCGUACAUUGUACAAGUUGACCGAAACGACAUCACCGGAAGUUACAACUUUCAAAGAAGUCAUUUAUGAUUUAAAGAUUUGUGAAUGGAAAUCAAUAACAUCGGAAUGAAAAAGGACUACGGGGUAACGGAUGACACUCUGAGAUUGAGAACCCAAAAGGUACAUGCUGUGCAAGAAAGAUGUAAACAUGCGAAUUCCUAAAUGUACUAAAUAUUAAAACAUCAACUGCAAUCUUCAGUGGUGACAUCCAAAAGUUGAUAUGCCAUUGGUACUUCAAGUGAUACGACCGUGACAUUGGAAAAUCCUUUUAACUUAUCAUCACUUGAGCCUGAAUUGCAAUCCUUUUGAUACAGACAUUUUUUUAAGUUCAGUUUUGAACAUUAAUGCCGCUGUGUCAUCUCUGGAAAUGGAAAAGCCUACCACAGAAUCUGAUGAAUUUUUUAACAUUCUUUCACAAAAAGGGAUCUUCUUUAUUUUGAAGAAGGUAGCCCAGGAACUGGAAAUCUGUUAUCAAAAUGAUCUUAAUAAUACACUGGACAAUAUUCUAACCUUAAAAAAAAACAUGACAAACCCGAUUGAACUCCUGUGAUGAAGCAUCUCAAAACUCAAAUUAUGGUAGUCUUUCAAGUGACAUUGAGGAUUUCAAUAGUGCAUUUGACAGUAAAGUGAUUUUUAUUCAAGUUCAGAUUGUUGUCAUUAUAAAUUUAUAAGAAGUGUUCUCAUAGCCAACAUUUUUCAAGUCUACUUUUGAUGAAAUAUAGUCUUUUCUAUUACAACUUAUUAUGACAUGAUUGUUGUUGUAUACAUAAAUGUUCUUAUCCACGAAUCAUUCACUGUUCUUAUAGGUUUUCUUUUUAGCCUGAACUAUGUAGCAAUGACAUGUCAAGGUAAUCCAGAAAAUGUAAAAUCUUUUCUUUGAUAUGACAAGGAUUUAAUUUUGUAACAAUUAAUAUCUAAAAGUCCUGUAACCCUCAUUAAAGUCCUUUAUAAUCUGA